UUUUUUUUUCUUUUUUUUUAUUUUCUCCUUUUUGGUGUGAUUUGUCACUCUGUUGGAUCUAUGAGUGUACAUGCACGGGGUAAGUUUGCCACUUUUUUGUCUGGGGAAGAUAUGGAAAGUUGUCCCAAGACAGUUGAAGUGUUAAACUGCAGUACAAAUGCAAAACCCACAAAUCAUUUCAUACAGCCCGGCAUCAACAUUGCCUUGCUUUGGACUGAAAAUAUUUGGAACAAAAAUAACAGGAUCUAGUAGUUAAAUGCAUUUUUCUGGUUUGUGUCGUUGCCUAAGUUAAAUGCAUUUUUCUGGUUUGUGUCGUUGCCUAAGUUAAAUGCAUUUUUCUGGUUUG
rnacentral:misc_RNA from 1 species